AGUGAACGCUGGCGGUAGGCCUAACACAUGCAAGUCGAACGGCAGCACAGUAAGAGCUUGCUCUUACGGGUGGCGAGUGGCGGACGGGUGAGGAAUACAUCGGAAUCUACUUUUUCGUGGGGGAUAACGUAGGGAAACUUACGCUAAUACCGCAUACGACCUACGGGUGAAAGCAGGGGAUCUUCGGACCUUGCGCGAUUGAAUGAGCCGAUGUCGGAUUAGCUAGUUGGCGGGGUAAAGGCCCACCAAGGCGACGAUCCGUAGCUGGUCUGAGAGGAUGAUCAGCCACACUGGAACUGAGGCACGGUCCAGACUCCUACGGGAGGCAGCAGUGGGGAAUAUUGGACAAUGGGCGCAAGCCUGAUCCAGCCAUACCGCGUGGGGGAAGAAGGCCUUCGGGUUGUAAAGCCCUUUUGUUGGGAAAGAAGAGCAGCAGGUUAAUACCCCGCUGUUCUGACGGUACCCAAAGAAUAAGCACCGGCUAACUUCGUG
rnacentral:rRNA from 1 species